rnacentral:tRNA from 1 species
GAGGAUUUAGUUUAAUGUAAGUGUUUGAUUUGCAUUCAACUGAUGUAGGAUAAACUCUUGCAAUCCUCA